AGGGGCGGAGCCUCCAUUCUACCUCGGAGGCUGUUGUCGGUUACGAGAGGCCCGGAUGUUGACCCUUCAUUACUAACAACAGAGGGCACCUGACCGGGCGUCUCUCGCCCUGAGGUCAAAGGCCAUGAGGGUUGAAGGACGAAGGUUUAAGUAUUGGGGCACUCAGCCUUCCCUAUCAUUUUAUGGUUUUAAGAAAGCAAAUCAGCCUGAAAAGGGAAAGAAAAUUAGAGCAAAGACCCAUCACUUCCGAGGACUUGGAAAAUGGGUCCCGCUGAAGCCGAAAUAAAUGACGUUGCCAAGCACCUGCCCAAAUAUCAAGUUUAAAAAAAGACUCAGGAAACCACAAAGAAAACCUUCACUGCCCUACCAAAGCAAACAGAAACCCUGCACAAACAAAACAAAGUUAAAAGCGUGCGUCAAGGUUUUAUAGCAUUUCCUGGCAAGAUGUAUAGAAUCAUCCCUAACUGGCUUUUAAAAACCACAGAUUUAACUAAAACACAAUGAAAAGGCACUAACUACUAUCUGGCCGAGGCCAGUCUGUUUUCCUUGUAGAGUUAAUUGACUCCUCUGUUUUAUAAUUUAAAAAGUGAAAGACUAUUAUUGCUGUCUACAAAUAUCUGAAAGGUUGUCUUUUAUGGAAAAGAAAUUAAAAGAUUUGAUGGCAGAUGGGUGCACUUUGCAGUGAA